GUGUUUUGCAAACAAAACUAAUUGUUUAUGCCUCCAGUUGAAUCAGGAAAAUGCACUCUGACCUCCAUGGAGACAAAAGCAACUGAUAUGAAAGUAUGUGUAACUGCCACAGUGGGUGUUUGCACCUUAUUUACGUUCGUCUGUGUUUUUAUGGCAUGUAUUGUUAUAUUGCCUGUUAUAUAACACUCACCAUGGGUGGCGCUGUACUUGGUUGGGUUGUGUGACUGAGAGAGAAGAAAAUGAAGAAGAAGAGACUGAUGGAAGUUAAACACACAGUUUAAGUUUUUGAAGAUUGUGGACCUUAUUUUGUGCUUGGACAAGGACCCAGUGUCAGUGCUUUAAUUCCUGUUGCACACAGCCAACAAGGCCUGAAUGUGGCAGAUGGAUGCAACCCAGACAACCAGAGAGGAGGGCCAGCGGUGUGUUGCCCCCGGGGCUCGGACCUGAUCAAAGCAGCGUCUGUCAGAUUGCAGUCUCAUAAAAAGGCACAUGUGUGGAGAUAAGCUGCGACACGUGUCUGGAAGCACUGGACGUCAUACAGACAGAAGCUGUGGUCCAGCCAGGUACAGGAGCUGAGGGGACCUGAGGGGAGCUGAGGAGACCUGAGGGGAGCUGAGGGGACCUG